AGCUGGGACUGCAUAAGCUGAGCUUCGGGAAACCCUCCGGUGCCUGACAAUGAACCGGAGCAAAGAGAAGCCCAGAGGCCGAGAAACUGAGUCCGACACCAGUGUCUGUGGACUGGACUCAGCCACAUGGGAAGGCGGAUACUUGGACUCUCCAGCCAAAGGUCACCUGAAGGUCCCCUCUGGCCUCAUAUCUGUCACCAGAUGAGGUUUGAAUCUCUCGGGGCUGAAGACAACGGUGAAUGCCACAGAUAAAACAGGAGACAGGCCACAGACACAAAGAUGCCCAGUGAGGCACAGGAACCCAACGGUGGGGACACCCCAAGGUCCAUGCACGCGUGGAGGGGCGGACAAACAGAAUAGUCUGUCUGGACAAUGGCCUGCUGCUCAGCCAGGAAGAGGACAGACGCCUGAUACCGACAGGGUCUUGUUAUGGAGCUGAAGCUGGCCUCGAACUUGUGAUCCUCCUGCUUCAGCCUCCUGAGCAGCCAGGAUUAUAGGAGCAUGCCUGUGAGUUGGUAGUUGGUAACAUUAUGGAUGUACUGAACGUCACCUAACCUGUUGGUUUUUGUUAUGUUCAUUUUCACAUCCGUUUUUUGUUGUUGUUGUUGUUGUUUUGGUACCGGGGAUUGAACUCGGGUCCUUGCGCUUUCGAGGCAGGCGGCAGAACCACUGAGCUAAAUCCCCGGCCCUUCACAUCAGUUUUAAUAAAUGAGUAAUAAGGACCCGACCCCUCCAAAAGUGCCACAUUCGCGCUGAUCUCUGCCUGGGCUCUCUGGCAGGGCAGCUCCGAGAACCUAGACUCACAGCCCUGGGGGUUCAACGCCACC
rnacentral:lncRNA from 1 species